GACGAACGCUGGCGGCGUGCCUAAUACAUGCAAGUAGAACGCUGAAGAGAGGAGCUUGCUCUUCUUGGAUGAGUUGCGAACGGGUGAGUAACGCGUAGGUAACCUGCCUGGUAGCGGGGGAUAACUAUUGGAAACGAUAGCUAAUACCGCAUAAAAUUGAUUAUUGCAUGAUAAUUAAUUGAAAGAUGCAACUGCAUCACUACCAGAUGGACCUGCGUUGUAUUAGCUAGUUGGUGAGGUAACGGCUCACCAAGGCGACGAUACAUAGCCGACCUGAGAGGGUGAUCGGCCACACUGGGACUGAGACACGGCCCAGACUCCUACGGGAGGCAGCAGUAGGGAAUCUUCGGCAAUGGGGGGAACCCUGACCGAGCAACGCCGCGUGAGUGAAGAAGGUUUUCGGAUCGUAAAGCUCUGUUGUAAGAGAAGAACGGGUGUGAGAGUGGAAAGUUCACACUGUGACGGUAUCUUACCAGAAAGGGACGGCUAACUACGUGCCAGCAGCCGCGGUAAUACGUAGGUCCCGAGCGUUGUCCGGAUUUAUUGGGCGUAAAGCGAGCGCAGGCGGUUAGAUAAGUCUGAAGUUAAAGGCUGUGGCUUAACCAUAGUAUGCUUUGGAAACUGUUUAACUUGAGUGCAGAAGGGGAGAGUGGAAUUCCAUGUGUAGCGGUGAAAUGCGUAGAUAUAUGGAGGAACACCGGUGGCGAAAGCGGCUCUCUGGUCUGUAACUGACGCUGAGGCUCGAAAGCGUGGGGAGCAAACAGGAUUAGAUACCCUGGUAGUCCACGCCGUAAACGAUGAGUGCUAGGUGUUAGGCCCUUUCCGGGGCUUAGUGCCGCAGCUAACGCAUUAAGCACUCCGCCUGGGGAGUACGACCGCAAGGUUGAAACUCAAAGGAAUUGACGGGGGCCCGCACAAGCGGUGGAGCAUGUGGUUUAAUUCGAAGCAACGCGAAGAACCUUACCAGGUCUUGACAUCCCUCUGACCGCUCUAGAGAUAGAGUUUUCCUUCGGGACAGAGGUGACAGGUGGUGCAUGGUUGUCGUCAGCUCGUGUCGUGAGAUGUUGGGUUAAGUCCCGCAACGAGCGCAGCCCCUAUUGUUAGUUGCCAUCAUUCAGUUGGGCACUCUAGCGAGACUGCCGGUAAUAAACCGGAGGAAGGUGGGGAUGACGUCAAAUCAUCAUGCCCCUUAUGACCUGGGCUACACACGUGCUACAAUGGCUGGUACAACGAGUCGCAAGCCGGUGACGGCAAGCUAAUCUCUGAAAGCCAGUCUCAGUUCGGAUUGUAGGCUGCAACUCGCCUACAUGAAGUCGGAAUCGCUAGUAAUCGCGGAUCAGCACGCCGCGGUGAAUACGUUCCCGGGCCU
rnacentral:rRNA from 1 species